UUUAGGGCCACUCCACACAAGCGUCUUUAGAGCAUCGGCGUCGAGUCAGCGCUAUGGAAAAUGGCGUCGCUGCGCAGUGACGCCAAUGUUGCGUCGAGCAGCCAUACAGUUGACUGUAGGCUCCUCAAACAGACUAACAUUUGUUCAGCGACUUUUAAAAAUAACUUAUUUUUAAAAGUUAUUGAGCAAGUGUCAUCGUUUGAGAAGUAGGUACCUAUAGUUCGUGUCAUACACGAUGACGCGUAGAUUAGUCAAAUCUAACCUCAUGACAUUACCAGUCAAGGCACGCGCCUUCGUGAAUGGCAUGAUCUAUACAAU